GAUAUGGUAGGAGAGCGUUCUGUAAGCCUGCGAAGGUGUCUUGUAAAGGAUGCUGGAGGUAUCAGAAGUGCGAAUGCUGACAUGAGUAGCGAUGAUGGGGGUGAAAAGCCUCCACGCCGUAAGCCCAAGGUUUCCUGUUCAACGUUCAUCGGAGCAGGGUGAGUCGGCCCCUAAGGCGAGGCAGAGAUGCGUAGCUGAUGGGAAGCAGGUUAAUAUUCCUGCACCGUCGUAUGAUGCGAUGGGGGGACGGAUCGCGGAAGGUUGUCCGGGUGUUGGAAGUCCCGGUCCUUGACUUGUAGAAGGCAUCUAGGUAAAUCCGGGUGCGUAAUUCAAGGGGUUGAGGCCAGCUUAUUUAUAAGCGAAGCAAUCGGAAGUGGUUCCAAGAAAAGCCUCUAAGCUUCAGUCAUACGAGACCGUACCGCAAA
rnacentral:ncRNA from 1 species